rnacentral:lncRNA from 1 species
GGAUAGUUUACUACAUCUCCCUCCUGAUAUAUCAAACAGAUCAUGGAAGAUUUGAGGCAUUAAAGAUUUGCUUGACAAACCCCUGGAAAAUUGUGAGUUUUACUAGCUUAAUGGUGUACAGACCUCUGUCUCCUCACAAAAUAUAUAUGUAUAUAUUUUACAACAUCCACGAUUCAUGAGAUCACACAUAUUUUUCCCAAAGCUGAUGAGUUACAGGUUACCUCUUGGAGUUAAGAGACCAGAACUGAAGAACAGAACCAGAUCCAAAUGGCACAAAAGUAACAGCAGCUUGAAGAACUACUGAGUACCAAGUGCACACAACCGAGCACAAAGCUACUUGGAAUGAUCCCAUCCCACAGAUUUCUGAAGUGCUGUGGUUCCACCAAGUCUGCAGGUAGAGCUUAAACCCAGACCAUCUCUGUGCAUUUGCAGUAAGGAGCCCGGUACCAGCUCUAACAAAGAAUGAGACAAAUAAAUAAUUAAUUUAUUAAAGUUAUAUAAAGUAC